rnacentral:rRNA from 1 species
UGGGGAAUAUUGCACAAUGGACGAAAGUCUGAUGCAGCGACGCCGCGUGAGGGAAGAAGGUAUUCGUAUUGUAAACCUCUGUCUUCGGGGACGAUAAUGACGGUACCCGAGGAGGAAGCCACGGCUAACUACGUGCCAGCAGCCGCGGUAAAACGUAGGUGGCAAGCGUUGUCCGGAAUUACUGGGUGUAAAGGGAGCGCAGGCGGUUCUUUAAGUUGGAUGUAUAAUCUAUGGGCUCAACCCAUAAUCGCAUUCAAAACUGAAGAACUUGAGUGAAGUAGAGGUAGGCGGAAUUUCCGGUGUAGCGGUGGAAUGCGUAGAUAUCGGAAGGAACACCAGUGGCGAAGGCGGCCUACUGGGCUUUAACUGACGCUGAGGCUCGAAAGCAUGGGUAGCAAACA